CACCCUGAUUUCCCAUGGCGCCAGGUCUCUUCUCCAGCCUCCACCUGCCUGUCUGCUCCCAGAGCUGAGACAUGGCCACCCAGCCCCUAGUCACUCCUCUGUUCAUCUUAUGUAACAUAUAAAUUGGGAACAGGAGGAUAGAACUUUUGAUGAGCUCAGGAUUCAUAUUUUUGGUGGGUGGGAGUGGAGAAUAGGCUGGUCUUAGGGUGUUGGAUGGGGUGAAGACAGCUUCUCUGAGACAGGAGCCAGGUUGCUGAUGGAAUAUGAGAGAGGUGCAUAUUUGAGCAAAACUGCCCUUCCCUGGUUCUCUGGCCAGUCUUCCUGGUAAGGAGUCCUCCCCGGGAGCCCCAAAGUGCAUAUU